rnacentral:rRNA from 1 species
UACGGAGGGUGCAAGCGUUAUCCGGAUUCACUGGGUUUAAAGGGUGCGUAGGCGGCUUGAUAAGUCAGUGGUGAAAGCUCGCAGCUCAACUGUGAAACUGCCAUUGAAACUGCCAGGCUUGAGUACGAUUGAUGUGGGCGGAAUACAUCAUGUAGCGGUGAAAUGCUUAGAUAUGAUGUAGAACACCGAUUGCGAAGGCAGCUCACAAAAUCGCAACUGACGCUGAGGCACGAAAGCGUGGGGAGCAAACAGG